rnacentral:rRNA from 1 species
GACGAACGCUGGCGGCGUGCUUAACACAUGCAAGUCGUACGGUAAGGCCCUUUCGGGGGUACACGAGUGGCGAACGGGUGCGUAACACGUGAGUAACCUGCCCACAACUUUGGGAUAACGCUAGGAAACUGGUGCUAAUACUGGAUAUGUGCUCCUGCUGCAUGGUGGGGGUUGGAAAGCUCCGGCGGUUGUGGAUGGACUCGCGGCCUAUCAGCUUGUUGGUGGGGUAGUGGCCUACCAAGGCGGCGACGGGUAGCCGGCCUGAGAGGGUGACCGGCCACAUUGGGACUGAGAUACGGCCCAGACUCCUACGGGAGGCAGCAGUGGGGAAUAUUGCACGAUGGGCGCAAGCCUGAUGCAGCAACGCCGCGUGCGGGAUGACGGCCUUCGGGUUGUAAACCGCUUUCAGCAGGGACGAAGCUUUUUGUGACGGUACCUGCAGAAGAAGCACCGGCUAACUACGUG